rnacentral:sRNA from 1 species
UCUUGGCUUUGCGUUAGGGAUUGAAACGGCAUCCUUUUUUAUUUUUAAAUAGUAUACCUAUUUUACAUAAACGAAGUACUUAUUUAGAUUCUGUAGUUGCUUAAAUGAAUCUAAAUAUAAAAAAGAUAUAGUGUAAAGCCCGUUAAAAC